CCUACGGGGGGCAGCAGUGGGGAAUAUUGGGCAAUGGAGGAAACUCUGACCCAGCAACGCCGCGUGAAUGAUGAAGGUCUUCGGAUUGUAAAGUUCUUUUCUAAGGGAAGAAGAAAGUGACGGUACCUUAGGAAUAAGCCUCGGCUAACUACGUGCCAGCAGCCGCGGUAAUACGUAGGAGGCGAGCGUUAUCCGGAAUGACUGGGCGUAAAGGGUGCGUAGGUGGUUUGGCAAGUUAGUAGCGUAACUCCAAGGCUCAACCCCGGAACUGCUUUGGAAACUGUGCAGCUAGAGUGCAGGAGAGGUAAGUGGAAUUCCUAGUGUAGCGGUGAAAUGCGUAGAUAUUAGGAGGAACACCAGUGGCGAAGGCGGCUUACUGGACUGUAACUGACGUUGAGGCUCGAAAGCGUGGGGAGCAAACAGGAUUAGAUACCCUAGUAGUC
rnacentral:rRNA from 1 species